rnacentral:rRNA from 1 species
GGGAGCCAGAGAAACGGUUACCACAUCUAAGGAAGGCAGCAGGCGCGCAAAUUACCCAAUCCUAAUACAGGGAGGUAGUGACAAGAAAUAACAAUACAGAACCUUACGGUUUUGUAAUUGGAAUGAGUUAAGUAUAAACCCCUUAACAAGUAUCAAUUGGAGGGCAAGUCUGGUGCCAGCAGCCGCGGUAAUUCCAGCUCCAAUAGCGUAUAUUAAAGUUGUUGCAGUUAAAAAGCUCGUAGUUAAUCUUCUGUUAAUUUUUAUAUAUAAUAUCACGAUAUUUAUAUAAUAUUAACAUAAUUCAUAUUACUUUUUAGUAUAUGAAACUUUACUUUGAGAAAAUUAGAGUGCUUAAAGCAGGCUAUUGCCUUGAAUACUCCAGCAUGGAAUAAUAUUAAGGAUUUUUAUUCUUCUUAUUGGUUCUAGAAUAAAAAUGAUGAUUAAUAGGGACAGUUGGGGGCAUUUGUAUUUAACAGUCAGAGGUGAAUUUCUUAGAUUUGUUAAUGACAAA